AGACUUCUACCAACAAUAAAUGAUGCUCUAGGGUCAUUGACCUUGACAGGAAAUCCAACACACUGAUGACAGCAGCCACAUGAAUAGACUUGAGACACAAACAUCUAAAUUCCCAUGUUGGUCUCAACUUAAUCUUGGAAGAUGGGAAAAAAGGCAACCUAGGAACCAGGAUCAGGAAAGGAAAAUGGAUUUGGGAAAAGGCAACUGAGAUCUCUGCCCUGCAACCAUGGAUGAGAAAACCCAACAUAUGCAUGCCUCUGUACGGUAUCGUCGAGUACCAUUACAACACCAUUUAUUUCCAUCCGUGCUCAACCCUUCAAUGAAUGACCUUCAAGCAACAAACUCUGUUUAAUUAGCUCCCCACAAAUAUCCUGGGGAGUUGAAAUUGCUUGAGUUAUUAAUUAAAGGGAAAACAAUGAGAAGGAGAGA
rnacentral:lncRNA from 1 species